GACUGCUAUGGUGGCCUAGUGGUUAGAGCAUCCACCUCAGAUGUAGGAGGUUGAGGGUUUGAACCCCAGCCAAGUCA